rnacentral:rRNA from 1 species
GAUGAACGCUAGCGAUAGGCCUAACACAUGCAAGUCGAGGGGCAGCGCGAUGUAGCAAUACGGAUGGUGGCGACCGGCGCACGGGUGAGUAACACGUAUGCAACCUGCCUUCAACAAGGGGAUAACCCGUUGAAAGACGGACUAAUACCCUAUAACACAGGGGUCCCGCAUGGGAAUAUUUGUUAAAGGACAACCGGUUGAAGAUGGGCAUGCGUUCCAUUAGCUAGUUGGCGGGGUAACGGCCCACCAAGGCAACGAUGGAUAGGGGAACUGAGAGGUUUAUCCCCCACACUGGUACUGAGACACGGACCAGACUCCUACGGGAGGCAGCAGUGAGGAAUAUUGGUCAAUGGACGCAAGUCUGAACCAGCCACGUCGCGUGAAGGAAGACGGCCCUACGGGUUGUAAAACUUCUUUUAUACGGGAAUAAAGUGCCCCACGCGUGGGGUUUUGCAUGUACCGUAUGAAUAAGGAUCGGCUAACUCCGUG